rnacentral:rRNA from 1 species
GUGCAGCAGCCGCGGUAAUACCGGCAGCACGAGUGAUGGCCGAUAUUAUUGGGCCUAAAGCGUCCGUAGCUGGCCGGACAAGUCCGUUGGGAAAUCCACGUGCCUAACACGUGGGCGUCCAGCGGAAACUGUCCGGCUUGGGGCCGGAGGACCCGAGGGGUACGUCCGGGGUAGGAGUGAAAUUCUGUAAUCCUGGACGGACCGCCGGUGGCGAAAGCGCCUCGGGAAGACGGGCCCGACAGUGAGGGACGAAAGCUGGGAUCUCGAACCGGAUUAGAAACCCGGGUAGUCC